ensembl:lncRNA
AUCUUUUUCUAGAGAUCACUCUCUUUGGAGUUUUUCUGUGAGCCUAAGACUGGAAUAGGGAAGUAAUUGUCCCCCUGUACUCAACACUGGUGAGGCCGCACCUCGAGUACUGUGUCCAGUUUUGGGCCCCUCACUGUAAGAAAGACAUCGAGGCCCUGGAGCACGUCCAGAGGAGGGCAACAAAGCUAGUGAGGUGUCUGGAGCACAGGCCUUAUUAGGAGCGGUUGAGGGAGCUGGGAUUGUUCAGUCUGGAGGAGAGGAGGCUCAGGGGAGACCUUAUUGCUCUCUAGAACUACCUGAAGGGAGGGUGUAGCGAGCUGGGGGUCAGCCUCUUCUCUCGGGUGACUAGUGAUAGGACUAGAAGGAAUGGAUUCAAACUGCGCCAGGGGAGGCUCAGGCUGGACGUUAGGAAAUACUACUUAUCUGAAAGGGUGGUCAGGCACUGGAAUGGGCUGCCCAGAGAGGUGGUGGAGUCACCGACCCUGUUGGUGUUCAAAGAGCGUUUGGAUGUUGUGUUGAGGGACAUGGUUUAGCGAGAACCAUUGGUGAUGGGUGGGUGGAUGGACUGGAUGAUCCUGUGGGUCUUUUCCAACCUUAGUGAUUCUAUGAUUCUCCUAAUCAAAUUACUCACCCUAUGAUAUAGAAAACAAACUAUUUUAAAGUUAUCAGACUUAUGAGCUGGAGCUUGCUAAUCUCAUAUUUUAUUUCUUACUCUGGUUUACCAUCAUAUUAGAACUCAAAACAUUAAAUUUACUUCACCUGUGAAGGUUAGUAAUAUCUUUCAGCUGUAACAUGGUGCUAAAGAUUUAGGAGUUGUAAAUCACCCAGCCUACCUUUCUUGUGCCUAUGCUUUUCUGGAAGCCUCCUCAGAAAGAUGUGGAAAAUAAUUCUGAAGUGUUUACUUUUUAUUUGGAGUAGAGGAUUCAAAAGAUGAAAUUGCUUAGUCCUGGGUAUGUCAUGUGACUUCCCAUAUCAUUUAUGGGCAAAUGAAGCAUAUAUCUGAUGGUGUCUCAUGAAGCUUUCUCUAAAAUAUAGUUACUUGAAGUGUCAACAGUAAUGUAAGCAGAAAAAUAAUUAAAUGCAAAUUAUGCAGUACUACUGGACAAAACUUAAAAUGUUUUGCUAAUUCACUAACUACAAUGGAAAUGAUACAAGGCAAAUUGUGUUUUGGCUAAAUUCAUGUUUAUCAUGGCAUAAUAAUAAAAUGGCAAAGACCCCAGGCCUGGACACAGUACUGCAGGUGGUGUUUCAUAAGUGCAGAUGAGAGAGAGAGUCAUCUCCCUUGACCUUCUAGCUAUGCUUCUCUUGAUGCAGACCAGGGUACAGUUGAAUUUCUGAACUGCAAGCACACACUGCUGGCUCCUGUUGAGCUUUACUUCGAUUAAUAUAACCAAGUCUUUUUGCCACAGGGCUACUCUCUAUCCAAUAGUUGCCCUGCCUUUAUUCAUGUUUGGGAUUGUCCUCUCUGAGGUGCAGGACUUUUCACUUGCUCUUGUUUAUCCACAUGUUGUUCGCAAAGGCUCAUAUCUCAAGCCUGUCAAGGUCCGUCUGGAUGGCACUCCUUACCUCCAGCAUGUCCACUGCAUCACUCAGCUUGGUGUCAUCAGCUGAGUGUUAUUGUAAACACAAAUUAGCUUAUGCAAUUAAAAAAAAUGUUAAGAUUUCCUGUCUUGUUGUUUUGGUAACAGCACAGAUUUUUCUCAGCUUGUUUCAGACUUUGAGGAAAAACAAUGUGAUUUCUGAUAAUUCUUUUUAAGUGAGAGAAAGGGACUGUCGAAAAUGUUUGCCUUUUUGCUAGAGGAUAAAUUUGUCAUAUGCAGUACUCCAGCACUAAAAACAUUAACUAAUUCUGCUUGCCAGGAGUAGGAGGCUUUACAGAACAAAUCACAUUGUUGCAUCUUGAGGUUCAUUAACCAAAGCUGAUGUGCAAAUUAAUUCAAAAGUUAGCUUCCACUCUUUUUUUCUCCUUUUUCUUUGCUGACUUGUUGUGGGUUUUUUGUGAUACAAAACUAUACUUCAGAUUUCAUUGACUGAGUGCAUUUAAAGCUAUAGCUAAACUAAUAAUUCAAGUAACAAGAUGUUGUGGAUUUAGAAACAACUCAUAGUUUUUGUCUCUAUUGCCAGCGAAUCUUUCUCUCCUAAAAGCGAUGAAAAAAUACUUGAAACUCGAGAAGAAUGCAAGUCAUAAAUUAGAAACACAGAAAAUCACUAAGUCAUAAAAACCCCCAGUGAUCCAGUAAUUAAUUUCUUCUCAAGUCAGUUUUAAAUGUGUGUGAUGUUUUUGGAGGUAGGGGGAAAAUAGGAGCCCUUCUAGACUUCUUUCAGCAGGUUUGAAUAUGUCCUUAAAGCACUGUGAAUGGCAGAGCAUGGUAAAACAUUAUAUUCACUAGAGUAUGUGGAGUGGGGCAAGAUAUUUUCUGUAAAUAAGUAGUGCAUUAUACCUAUACACAAUUAGAUAAAUAUGCACUGCUUUGCUGAAAGACAGAAAAAUUGAGUCUUGGGGUAUGUUAAUUUAUUUUGUAUCUACUGUCAGAAGAGGGUUUGAGUGAAAACUUUCUUGAUUAAUAUCUACAACAAAUGACUAAUCUACUUCCUAUUAUGUCGUAAAGUUGAAAAGACUCUACAGUGGAUUUAGUAAUUGUCUUACUUUCACCUGGGAUGGAACUGUUUUCUUUAGAGGGUCUGGUAUGAUGAUAUGUUUUUGGAUUGAGGAGAAAAAUAAACAUUGGUGUGUU